ACCGUACUCCUACGGGAGGCAGCAGUGGGGAAUUUUGGACAAUGGGGGCAACCCUGAUCUAGCCAUGCCGCGUGAGCGAUGAAGGCCUUAGGGUUGUAAAGCUCUUUCAGUGGGGAAGAUAAUGACUGUACCCACAGAAGAAGCCCCGGCUAACUCCGUGCCAGCAGCCGCGGUAAUACGGAGGGGGCUAGCGUUGUUCGGAAUUACUGGGCGUAAAGCGCACGUAGGCGGACUGGAAAGUCAGAGGUGAAAUCCCAGGGCUCAACCUUGGAACUGCCUUUGAAACUCCCGGUCUUGAGGUCGAGAGAGGUGAGUGGAAUUCCGAGUGUAGAGGUGAAAUUUGUAGAUAUUCGGAGGAACACCAGUGGCGAAGGCGGCUCACUGGCUCGAUACUGACGCUGAGGUGCGAAAGCGUGGGGAGCAAACAGGAUUAGAUACCCCGGUAGUCCUUGAC
rnacentral:rRNA from 1 species